UAAAGUGGCGAACGGCUGAGUAACACGUGGGCAACCUGCCCUUUGCACUGGGAUAGCCUCGGGAAACCGAGGUUAAUACCGGAUACUCCAUAUUUGUCGCAUGGCGAAUAUGGGAAAAGCUCCGGCGGCAAAGGAUGGGCCCGCGGCCUGUUAGCUAGUUGGUGGGGUAGUGGCCUACCAAGGCAAUGAUGGGUAGCCGGGUUGAGAGACCGACCGGCCAGAUUGGGACUGAGACACGGCCCAGACUCCUACGGGAGGCAGCAGCG
rnacentral:rRNA from 1 species